rnacentral:lncRNA from 1 species
ACUCCAUCUCGACGAAGCUGUUAACGACGACGCCGAGGCUCCCGGACUCCGCGGCACUGAUGUCGUCCAUGGCGGCGCCGAUUUGGGUGUUUCCGCGGAGGAAGUCAGGGAGCUCCCGACGGACCAUGUGGAUGGGGUGUGGGAGGUUGGGCACGAGGAAAGGUACGUCGUCGCCGGCGACGGCGAGGUGCGGGAGGUUGGUGAAGAGCGAGUUCAUCAUGCACACGGGGAAGAGGCCGAGGGCCUGGAAGGUGAACCUCGGGACGCCGAGAUCCCGCGCGACGAAGGUGGUCCAGGGGAAGUGGACGUCGGCGACGACGGCGUCGGGGCGGUGAAGGCGGAGG